rnacentral:lncRNA from 1 species
UUUAUUCAUGAAUGAUGACAUGGGCACGGCCAAGUUCACACUCGCUUUGACGGGCUUUAUGACCUAGGUAAGUGUUACUUUAAAGCAUAUUUUACUCUACAGAUGUCAAACAUUGUUACCCUUAUCCCAACAUAAAACUAGAGACAAGAUUGGGGAAGUUACAUUUACGCAUGUUUUACUAAUAAAGAUGUCAAACAUUGUUACCCUUCUUCCUAUAUAAAACUAGAGACA